rnacentral:rRNA from 1 species
CCUACGGGUGGCAGCAGUGAGGAAUAUUGGUCAAUGGACGAGAGUCUGAACCAGCCAAGUAGCGUGAAGGAUGACUGCCCUAUGGGUUGUAAACUUCUUUUAUAUGGGAAUAAAAAAGGGUAUGCAUAGCCUGUUGUAUGUACCAUAUGAAUAAGGAUCGGCUAACUCCGUGCCAGCAGCCGCGGUAAUACGGAGGAUUCGAGCGUUAUCCGGAUUUAUUGGGUUUAAAGGGAGCGUAGGUGGAUUGUUAAGUCAGUUGUGAAAGUUUUCGGCUCAAACGUUAAAUUGCAUUUGAAACUGUCAGUCUUGAGUACAGAAGAGGUAGGCGGAAUACGUUGUGUAGCGGUGAAAUGCUUAGAUAUCACGAAGAACUCCGAUUGCGAAGGCAGCUCACUGGACUGCAACUGACACUGAUGCUCGAAAGUGUGGGUAGCAAACAGGAUUAGAUACCCGAGUAGUC